AAACUUAAAGGAAUUGACGGGGACCCGCACAAGCAGCGGAGCGUGUGGUUUAAUUCGUUGCUACACGAAGAACUUACCUGGGUUUGACAUAUAGGUUGUAGGGAACUGAAAAGGGACCGACCCUUCGGGGAGCCUAUACAGGUGUUGCAUGGCUGUCGUCAGCUCGUGUCGUGAGAUGUUCGGUUAAGUCCGCUAACGAGCGCAACCCUCGUCGUAUGUUAUAUGUGUCAUACGAGACUGCCGGUAAAAAGCCGGAGGAAGGUGAGGAUGAUGUCAAGUCAGCAUGACCUUUAUAUCCAGGGCUACACACACGCUACAAUGGUCUGUACAAUGGGUAGCCAAGCCGCGAGGCGGAGCCAAUCCUGAAAGCAGGCCUCAGUUCAGAUUGCAGUCUGCAACUCGACUGCAUGAAGCCGGAGUUGCUAGUAACCGCAGGUCAGCAAUACUGCGGUGAAUACGUUCCCGGGUCUU
rnacentral:rRNA from 1 species